GUGCUCACUUUGGCAGCACACACACUAAAAUUGGAACAAUAUAGAGAUUAUUAGCAUGGCCCCUGUGCAAGAAUGACCCACAAAUUCAUGAGGUGCUCCGUAGUUUU
ensembl:snRNA U6 U6 spliceosomal RNA